UGAACCUGUUGAGGUGAGUGUGAAUCUGUUGAUUUUUCCGUGAGUGUGUAUUUCUGAUGAGUGUGAUAUAUUUGUGUAUACUUCAUGAACAUGGUUUGAAAUAGUUGAGAGUGAAUUUACAUUUAUCUAAAGAAUGAUUUUGUUUUUGCUCUCCAGGUUUUCUUGUGGAUUUACUUUUGGAUUUACUUUUGGAUUUUCUUGUAGAUUUUCUUGUGGAUUUUCUUUGGGAUAUAACUUCAAGAAGAAGUGAUAUAACUUCAAGAAGAAGUGGAAACUGUGUGUACUUUUCAUGUGGAUAUAUGGUGUAUGUUAGAAGCGGAAACAUUGUGCUGUUCAAGUGAGACUUUGAGAGGAACUGUGCAAGAAGAGUGAAUACUUUUGAAAUUGUUGGAAGAAACGCGUGUUCGAACUGUGGGGUUGGGGUAUUAGGAAUUGUUUUGUGUUGUGUUUCUCAUUUUGAUUUUUAAAUUAUAUUAUAUUUUUUCAAUUUAAAUUGUUGUCGGAGUGGUGGAGGUAUAUCCAUCUAGGAAUGAAAUAUGUGCAGAUGGCAAAAAAAGGCCACUUUGAGGCAGAAAGUAAAUGUGCAUCAGAUGAUGUACAUAAUGGUGAUGAAAACACCAUAACUAGGAGUGUGUUCCAAUAGUGGAAAAGGCAAAGAAAAGAAAAGGAAAUCAAAAUCUGAAGUAAAUAUUCUGUCUGAGAAUAAAUCACAUUUUAAAUAUCAAGAAUCUUGUACAAAUCAAAUUUCUCAGCAUGAUGAGUUGUGUUUGACUGAGAAUAAUGAAGAGAUACAGAGUCUACAAAUGUAAGGACUGCCCCAUGUCUUACAAAAGUAAUCGAUCACUUGGGCGCCACAGAAGGGAACAACAUAAUAUUGGAGGUACAGUUAGAGAACAUGUGUGUCAUCUUUGUAAUAAGUCCUUUACUCGUCAGGCAAGUUUGCAAAUUCAUCGUUUAACAUGCAUGAAGCGGAAGGAAAAUUCUGUUGAAGAAGGGCAGGUAGAGGUUUCUUGUGAAGAAUGUCAAAAAGUGUUUUCAUCAAGACGCAGUCUAAAAUAUCACAUCUCAACUAUUCAUGAGCAUAGACUGUUUGAGUGCUCCAAAUGCGGAGAAGUUUUCCGUUGGUCCAAAAGUUUGUCAAAACAUCGGCAAAAAUGUCAAUAAAUUUGAGAAUUAUGCAAAUAUUUUAAAAUAGUUAAUUGUCUGCCAGGUAGAAAGCAAUGUUCUAGAACAGUUACGAAAAUAUCUACUCAUACAAUUAGAUUUUUUUUUUUUUAUGAGGAAUAACUGAAUAAUCCUGGACUACAGCCUGCAUAAGCUUUCAGAUUUUGAAGGGCCCCGAUCGGGGGGACGGGUGAAAGUAAGGGCUACGGGCUAUCCCGCUCCUAAGUGACCGAACGCCCAUAGGGCGUAGCCGUUACGCGCUGACAGUGACCCGUAUGUCGGACUUUUCACUCCGCCCUCUGACCUCGCGCCCGCAUUUGCUGACCGGCUGUCGGACUCCACACUCGCCGCCCGAUGGGCUUCUACCUGCAACAACCGCUUUGGUCAUCGCACUCUCGGUGAGUUUGUGAAUUAAGUGUAAAGUGUACCCUAAAAUUCUGUAAAAUAUUAUAACAUGAAUUAUUCAUACCAGUUGAAACUGUCUGUACAGUAUCAGGAUUUCUGGUAUUAGUUUAAUUUAAUUUGUAUAGUUCAGCCCGAAUCGUCGAUUUGUUGCGUGCUACUUCCGCUUUGUGCCAUGUGCUCGCUGUAGUAAGAUGCCGCAUGGCUAACACAAGGUAUUUUAUGUAUAAAUUCUCGAAGCAAAAUAUUAGUGUUUCAAACAAUCCUUAUAAUUAAUUGACCCUAUAAUAGUUCUUAGCAAUUUACCUUCUAUUGAAAUUUAUACACUCGAUCGUGUAUUGAAAGAUUAUUGUAAUCGUUUUUUUGUUUGUUUGUUUGUGGUUUUUUUUUAAUGCAGACUUUGGUUAUUUCACUUUCUAGGAAAUGCUGAAGAUCGGGGAUCGUGCUUAGUCAAAGCAUUGUAAUAAUGCGAUGGCCGACUACAAAACAGUCAACAGAUGACUCCACAGCGUGGCUGAAGAUGAGCCAAGCUGAAUGUAUAGUGAUAUUCAAGAUCCUGGAAGCGUUGUAAGAAAAUCAACUGACAUGGUAUAUGACGAGACUGGUUAUUCCCAAUCUGGAAUGAGUGGAAUUCUAAAAGAAGAACUAAAAUAUUUCAUCAUUCUGCAUAUCAAACAGGAUUAUUGCUGUACCACAGCAGCCUGGGGAUAUUAUAUCUGCCACUGCUUACAAAUAGUUUGGAAGUAACAGGCAAGAAUGGAGGAACAAGUCCAAGGACAAAGCCAUCUGAUGGUCAGUGAAAUAAGAAAUCAAAGAAAAUAACCAUGCAUGUGUUUAAUUUAUCAAUGUAAGCAUGGCUUUAUCAUUCAUGUUGUGUUUAUGAAGAAAGUUAACCCGGCCUAUUACUCUGUUCUGGGUAAUCUCUUCAUGUUGUUCACCUGUUUACAAGUGCAACUGCUUUGAUGUGAUAUGGUUCUAGUAUUUCUACCUCUUAUUAGUUUUCCUUUCUAAUCCACAAACAGUAAUCAAAACUAGAAGCAAGCCUACAUGAAUCUAUUUACAUAAGUGGUGUUGGCCAUCAACUUCCUGUUGCCUCCUAGCUGCUUUAAAGCUCAUAAAUAGUAAGAAACGGAAAUAUGUGUGCUUCAACUGAAUGGCACAUCGGUAAGAAGUGAAUAAAUUGAAAUGCCUUGUUUUUGCUUAU